rnacentral:rRNA from 1 species
UACGGAGGGUGCAAGCGUUAUCCGGAUUCACUGGGUUUAAAGGGUGCGUAGGUGGGUUGAUAAGUCAGUGGUGAAAUCCCCGAGCUUAACUUGGGAACUGCCAUUGAUACUAUUGAUCUUGAAUACCGUGGAGGUCAGCGGAAUAUGUCAUGUAGCGGUGAAAUGCUUAGAUAUGACAUAGAACACCAAUUGCGAAGGCAGCUGGCUACACGAAUAUUGACACUGAUGCACGAAAGCGUGGGGAUCAAACAGG